rnacentral:rRNA from 1 species
UACGUAGGGGGCAAGCGUUGUCCGGAAUUAUUGGGCGUAAAGAGCGUGUAGGCGGCCAGACAGGUCAGCUGUGAAAACUCGAGGCUCAACCUCGAGACGUCGGUUGAAACCGUCUGGCUAGAGUCCGGAAGAGGAGAGUGGAAUUCCCGGUGUAGCGGUGAAAUGCGCAGAUAUCGGGAAGAACACCCGUGGCGAAGGCGGCUCUCUGGGACGGUACUGACGCUGAGACGCGAAAGCGUGGGGAGCGAACAGG